ACCAAAACAAAUCCUGGAAAGCCCAACGUAUACUUCGUUUUUGUACGCGUACACUAGCGUAUGCUAACAGUCGAACGCAUAGCCUUUCGAAG